rnacentral:misc_RNA from 1 species
UUUCCGUAGGUGAACCUGCGGAAGGAUCAUUACUGAGUGAGGGCCCCUCGGGGUCCAACCUCCCACCCGUGUUUAACGAACCUUGUUGAUUCGGCGGGCCCGCCUCACGGCCGCCGGGGGGCAUUUGCCCCCGGGCCCGCGCCCGCCGAAGCCACCUGUGAACGCUGUCUGAAGUAUGCAGUCUGAGACAAUUAUUAAAUUAAUUAAAACUUUCAACAACGGAUCUCUUGGUUCCG